rnacentral:rRNA from 1 species
UACGAAGGGGGCUAGCGUUGCUCGGAAUUACUGGGCGUAAAGCGCACGUAGGCGGCUUGUUAAGUCGGUGGUGAAAUCCUGGAGCUCAACUCCAGAACUGCCUUCGAUACUGGGAAGCUCGAGUCCGGGAGAGGUGAGUGGAACUGCGAGUGUAGAGGUGAAAUUCGUAGAUAUUCGCAAGAACACCAGUGGCGAAGGCGGCUCACUGGCCCGGUACUGACGCUGAGGUGCGAAAGCGUGGGGAGCAAACAGG